rnacentral:lncRNA from 1 species
CUUAUUAAGUCUCCCAAACAAAGUUUGGAGACUUAUUGUUUUUGCUCAGUUCUUAUUAUUUUUAUUAUUCUUCUUCUUCUUCUUCUUCUUUUUCUUCUUUUUCUUCCGCCACUUUUAAAAAUGAACUUGUCCGCAGCGUUUCUCUAAAACCGCUUGUCAGAUUUACUUAGGGUUUCAUAGAAUGGUAGACUAAUAUGUCUAGGUGAGCCAUCAAUCUUUCGUUUGUGCAUUGGGGUCUAUUAAGGGGUAUUUUGGGAGGUAGAAAGGAGGGAGGGGUUUACUAUAGAACCCUAUGGGAUUUUAUUUUCUAAAAUUUUCAAAUGAAUAUAACUUGAAAACUGUAAGUGAUAGACACAUGCAGUCUUCAGAAAUGAUUAUAGGACAAUAAAACAAAUCACAUGAAAUAUAGGGGGAGUCCCUAGGGGGGUCAUCCCCACCCCCUUAAAUUUGAGAAUAUGCUUUUAUCUUGUAAACGGUCCAGAUCCCCACCCCUAAACCAUAUAUAUUCUUGAAUGGGACGAUAAAACAAAUCAAAUGAAAUUAAAGGGAAGUCCCCGGGGGUCAUCCCCACCCCGUUCAAUUUGAGAAUGUGCUAUUAUCUUGUAAACGGUCCAGAUCCCCACCCCUAAACCAUAUAUAUUUUUGUUGGGGACAAUAAAACAAAUGAAAUGAUAUAAAAGGGAAGUUCCUAGGGGGUCACCCCACCCCCUCUUGUUUGAAAACUUGUAAACGGUCAACAUCCCCACCCCUAAACCAUAUAUAUUCUUGAAUGGGACGAUAAAACAAAUCAAAUGAAAUUAAAGGGAAGUCCCCGUGGGUCAUCCCUACCCCAUUCAAUUUGAGAAUGUGCUAUUAUCUUGUAAACGGUCCAGAUCCCCACCCCUAAACCAUAUAUAUUCUUGUAGGGGACAAUAAACAAAUGAAAUGAUAUAAAAGGGAAGUUCCUAGGGGGUCAGCCCACCCCCUCUUGUUUGAAAACUUGUAAACAGUCAACAUCCCCACCCCUAAACCAUAUAUAUUCUUGUAUGGGACAAUAAAACUAAUCAAAUGAAAUUAAAGGGGAGUUCCUGGGGAUCACCCUUACCCCGUUCAAUUUGAGAAUGUGCUAUUAUCUUGUAAACAGUCCAGAUCCCCACCCCUAAACCAUAUAUAUUCUUGUAGGGGACAAUAAAACAAAUAAAAUGAAAUAAAAGGGAAGUCCCGAGGGGUCACCCCACCCCCUCUUGUUUGAAAACUUGUAAACGGUCAACAUCCCCACCCCUAAACCAUAUAUUUUUUUGUAGGGGACAAUAAAACAAAUGAAAUGAAAUAAAAGGGAAGUCCUGAGGGGGUCACCCCACCCCCUCUUGUUUGAAAACUUGUAAGCGGUUAACAUCAUCAACCCUAAACCAUAUAUAUUCUUGUAUGGGACAAUAAAACAAAUCAAAUGAAAUGUACGUAAAGUACCUGGGGUCACCACCACCCCUUCCUGUUUAAAUACUUGUAAAUGGUGGAGAUCCCCACCCCUAAGCCAUAUAUAUUCUUGUAUGGGACAAAAAUCAAAUCAAAUGAAUAUGGGACCAUAUGAAUGGCGAGUUAUGGGAGCUUUGUUUGGGAGACUUCGUAACAGCAUCCUGUUACAAUUACUUCUUGUU